CCUAUGGAUAAUAAGGACCUUAUUAAAAAAAUUCUUGAUGGGCUUGAUGAUGAUUAUAAGCCUAUCGUUGACGUCAUUAAUGGCCGUGACACACCAAUUUCCUUUAAUAAACUACAUGAAAAAUUAAUCAACAAGGAACUCUAGCUGUGUCUCCAUC